rnacentral:rRNA from 1 species
ACUGAACGCUAGCGGGAGGCUUUACACAUGCAAGUCGAACGAGUGGCGGAAGGGUGAGUAAUAUAGCGGAAAGUGACCAGUAGCGGGGGAUAACUACUCGAAAGAAUGGCUAAUACCGCCUACCACUGGAGCGGCCGGAAUCGGAUUAGCUAGUUGGUGGGGUAAAGGCUCACCAAGGCAACGAUCCGUAGAUGGUUUGAGAGGACGACCAGCCACACUGGGACUGAGACACGGCCCAGACUCCUACGGGAGGCAGCAGUGGGGAAUUGUGGACAAGGGGGGAAACCCUGAUCCAGCCAUGCCGCGUGUAUGAGAAGGCCUUCGGGUUGUAAAGUACUUUUGGCAGAGAGGCGGUAUCUGCAGAAUAAGCACCGGCUAACUACGUGCCAGCAGCCGCGGUAAUAC